CUACCCGGGUAUCUAAUCCUGUUUGCUCCCCACGCUUUCGUGUCUCAACGUCAGAAAUGGACCGAGAAGCUGCCUUCGCCAUCGGUGUUCCUCUCGAGAUCUACGCAUUUUACCGCUACUCCGAGAAUUCCACUUCUCUCUUCCACCCUCUAGCUCAUCAGUAUCGACUGCUGACCUCCGGUUAGGCCGAAGAAUUUAACAGUUGACUUAAAAAGCCGUCUACACACCCUUUACGCCCAAUAAUGCCGAAUAACGCUUGCACCCCUCGUAUUACCGCGGCUGCUGGCAC
rnacentral:rRNA from 1 species